rfam:Mucilaginibacter polytrichastri strain RG4-7 Scaffold1, whole genome shotgun sequence.
GGUCCCGUAGUUCAACGGAUAGAAUAGGAGUUUCCUAAACUCUAGAUAUGAGUUCGAUUCUCGUCGGGACCA